rnacentral:rRNA from 1 species
GACGAACGCUGGCGGCGUGCUUAACACAUGCAAGUCGAACGGAAAGGCCCUGCUUUUGUGGGGUGCUCGAGUGGCGAAAGGGUGAGUAACACGUGAGUAACCUGCCCUUGACUUUGGGAUAACUUCAGGAAACUGGGGCUAAUACCGGAUAGGAGCUCCUGCUGCAUGGUGGGGGUUGGAAAGUUUCGGCGGUUGGGGAUGGACUCGCGGCUUAUCAGCUUGUUGGUGGGGUAGUGGCUUACCAAGGCUUUGACGGGUAGCCGGCCUGAGAGGGUGACCGGCGACAUUGGGACUGAGAUAAGGCGCAGACGCCUACGGGAGGCAGGAAUGGGGAGUAGUGCACAAUGGGAGGGAGCCUGAUGGAGCAACGCCGCGUGCGGGAUGACGGCCUUCGGGUUGUAGACCGGAUUCGCCUGUGACGGAGCGUGAGUGACGGUAAUGGGAGAAGAAGCACCGGCUAACUACGUG